GGCGCCAUCGUCUAUCGGUUAGGACGCCGGCCUUUCACGCCGGUAAGGCGGGUUCGAUUCCCGCUGGCGCUA
rnacentral:tRNA from 2 species